GCCCAGGGAACGAGGCUCCCUCCCCUUCCCAGCCGUGCCGGGGCUCCCCUCGUGGCCCCGGGCUCCCCGCGCUGGCCGUGCGAGGGCUGGGCUGGAGAUGCAAGGGCAGCGUCAGCUGCCCCCGGCCCUACGUUUUGCCAGACGUAUUUACUGGUUACACGGAAAGAAUAUAGGCUCCAGGAAGGGCUACGACGCGUUUGCUGCUUCUGCAGAGUUCUUCCCACUCCUAGGAGCUGCGCAGACCUCGCAGGAGGGUCCGGGUUGCUCCCCAGGGAAUUCAGCCACUUUCCCUGCGCGGCGCGUGUGGGAGCGCUGAGCUCAGCUGGGAUGGCAGCAUGGGAGAUGGCUGGGAAGCGCUGGGGAGUUCGGGCCACAGAUGGCAGUGGCCGUGUGUUAUCAUUCCAGACUGCACUCUGUGACCAACUGACAAAUUGAGACAAGUUGUAAGAGCCUCACUGCAAAUAUAGUAACACUGUUAAUCGUACUUGUGACUAUGAAGGAUCAUGAACCAAUAUUUUUUAAAAAAUGGAUGCUACUGGCCUCCUAGUCGAGUGAAAUCAAUACCUCAUGGGAGUUUCAUAGGGUGUACUGCAGGACACUUCUGCGGGAGAGAUGUAAACAAACUAACACAGAAUACACAUUAUGUGAAAAAUGCAAGGCACAGGAAUAUGGAGUAGCUUAAGUCCUGCAGCAACAGGUGGCAGAGCUGAGGAGAAGAGAGUGUGUGUCCUGGCUCUCUGUCUUGCAUCUGUUGUAGCACAGUUUUCCUCCAUAAAGGGUAGAGCUUCCUCUCACCAAAACAGUGGCAAAAUACCAUCAGCUGCCAGGAAGGCAGGAUGAGCUCUUGCUUACCAAAACUGUGAUAAAGAACUAAAAUUAAUUAAUUAUUAUUAGACUGGGAAAGCAACUCUGGGCAAAAAAAAAUGUCCCUGUAAGUUGUGCUCAGACUGUAUGACCAGAAAAGCAAUGUUCUGGUGAGGAGAUUGGGGCUCUCCUGAAGGCAUAUGUUGUGAGGUGACCAUUGCCAUCAGAGGAGGAUGCUCUCCUAGGUCACGCAGUAUGGAGCAGUUGUGCUCUGGAGCAAUCAAGAGGCAGUGAAAAGCAAAAAGAGCCUCAAUGAAAAGAAAGCACUUGCAGAACAUAAAGGAUAAUCAAUUCACAGUUCUUUGACACGUUAAAGAUUAUUUUUUUAUCCAGAAAUUAUACCUGAAAGAAAAUACUGCAGGGGACUGCAGCACAAAACCAGAGGCAAAGGAAAACAGUAAGAUACUGCAUAUCAUUAAAGAAAAGUUAGUAGAGUCAAUCUGCACAAGCAAGAUUGCCAAAAUGAGUAAGACUUGGUUAAGAAUUUAAAGCACAACAGCAUGUUGGGCUGCAAAAGUUUAAAGUCUUGGUCUUUUUCGUUGAAUCAAUAGACAUAAACCAAAAAUAUACAACUUCUAAUAUAAACUUAUAUGAGCAGUUGAGAUAAAACUUGAACAGGAUGAGAAGGCAUUGUUAGUAAAAAAGGCUAGGGAUAUGGUAUCAGGAUUUAUUAGGGAAAUGAAGAAAGACAUAUUGUCUCAGAUGUAAAAAGGAAAUCUCUUAAAAAAUGAGGCCUAGCAGAAAGAAAGAAAGGGAACCUGCCAAUACAGCAAUGCUUUGUUUUCAUAGAAAAGGCUGAAAUGGAAAAGUUUUGUGCAAAAAGGCAGGGGGAAAAAGUGAAAUAAGAAAAAAUGUUUUUCAUAAGGAUGGAAACCUCUUAUUAAAAAGAAGUUGAAAUGCUCCAGGUAACACAAACAUUUUCAGAAUGUAAUAUUGGAGUUAAUUGACCAGCUCAAGAGAAUCAAACAAAAAAGACGUAGGAUGGUAUUACUCAGAAAGAAAUCAAGAUGCAGGAGAUAAAUUACAUUUAUUUUCAUUACACAAAUUGUUACAAUCUGGAGAUCAGCCUGAGAAAGACACAAAAAGUGAGGUAGCUAGUAGAAAAGUUGGGGAAAAGGAUCAAGAAAAGAGAGUGGGAAACAGAGCAUAAGUAGGCAGCUGAACUGCUACAGGCAUUUCUGGAGACUUUCAUCUGGGAGGGAGGGAUACAAAGCUGCUGUCCUAGGGAACUGUGAGCUUGUUUUGCUAUGUGAAUGGCAGUUAAAACUAGAAACCCGGACCCUGAGACCUUACUGUUUUAUUUUCUUGGUAAAUGAAGAUACUCUGGAUAAACCUGAGAAAUUCUUGAAUGUGCUAAGGUCUGGAUUUCCAGGAAAAGGAUAAGGACUAAGCAGGAAAAGAGCUGAUACAGGAUGAUGUAUCUGCUGCAACUGGGGGAUGUCAGAAGGAAGGCCAAGAAAGUUAAGGAGCACUGCAAGCCAAAGGUACUUAUAGAAAAUACAGAUUUUAUAUACACCUGAAAUCAAAACAAGAGAUUGUGAGGCAAUUUCCUGGAAAGCAUUACCAACUAGAAGGAGCAACUGGGAUAAGGGCUGAGGUUCAGCCACUCUUGUACAGCAGCACAUACACGACUAUGAGGUAUGGUCUGUUACAGGAUGUCCUGCAGACCAGGCAGCAGCCUAAUAGCUAUCCUGUACCAAGCUGGGCUUUCUAGGUCAUGACAAAACAGCAUUUCAUGUAAAGAAAGGGGGCAAUUACUGGUUUCUUCAUCCACUCAGAGGAAAUGUAGAACUUUUAAUGGAGUGUUUGCCACCAUAACAGAAAAAAAAAAUUAAUAAAAAGGAAGGAAAGCUUUUGUAGAAGGACAAAUAUAACAAAGUGGUGCAGUUAUGAGAGUACAGACAGCUAAAGAAAAGGCAUGACAUAAAUAAAAUGAGAGGAAAAACAGUAAACUUCCUGACCUUUCCAAGUCAACAAAACAAUUCAGCCCCAUUUGCAAUCAGUCAUAAAUAAUGUCAGUCAUUCUAACAAAAGAUAUUCUUACAUUAGGAUCCUGACAUAACAUUACAUUACAUUACAUCCUGACAUAAACUUUACACUUUGGUCUGACCUCAGCUUUCUAAAUACAGACCAGUCUGUUUUUACUGCUUUUAUGAAGUUCUUAAUAUUUCCGUUACAAUUAUUCUAUUUGCAUUUCAAAAAUUUGCUAUGGAGGUGAAAACAACAAUAUCAUUACGAAUCAGUUAAUCUUCUGUACCUACUAGUUUAGCAAAAUGUAAGGGAGAAUACAUGGAACCUAUGAAACCUGAGGAACCUAUGAACCUCAAUCUGAAAGAGGGCUAGAGAUAUGCAGGAUCUUCCAAACAUUUCUUGGUUUUUAUAUUAAUGGGUUAAUAAACAAAUAAGGGGAGGAAGAAAAGGAUCCACACAAAGCUUUCAACGUAUUAGCUAAAAUGUUGCACUUGUCUGCCAUAUAGUGGCUAAAAUUCAAAUGAGAUGUUGGGGCUGCAUUAUAUAAAUGGUACUAUGAGUUCCAUUAUCUUUGGUGAAUUAAGGUUUUAGCUGUAGUUAAUGUAUGUUAAGAGGUUUGGUCUAGCUGUUUUUGGAAAAUGACAGAACACUAAAGCCACGUGGUUACUUCAGACAGAUGUUUUCCUUUAGGUUUCUAGAGACAGGCGCAAGAGAACCCUUGACUUUCUUCUGUAUGGCUAGGUCCUGGUGGUUACCCUUGAUCAAGAUCAUGGUAAAGUAAACUUGAGGAAAUUUACCUGUCCUCCUGGUGAAGAGAACUUAAGAACCAAAAUACUUCAAUGAAAACUCUGUGCAUCUCUGAAUUCUUUCAGAAAUACAACUAUGAUUGAAUUCAAGAUGAAGAUGGAAAUGGAUGUUUGCCCCAGACAAAGAGUAAAGGAUGUUGGUAAAAUACCUUCAGUUAACACCAAUAGGCUUUGAAGUGUUUCAUGGCAUUUAGAGAAGAUAGGCCUCAGCUAGGAUUAAUAAUAAAUGGACAUUAAUCUAAAGUCAUUGUAGUCAUGUACUUUCCAGUAUUUUUGUUGCGUGUAUAAGCACUGGUCAUCCGUGGUUUAAAGAGGGACCUACACAGGAUGCUUUCCUGCUGUGCUGACUCAUUCCUGAUAGUCUAAAAAAUGAAAAGGGGCAUGUGUGCUUCCUGAUUUCCACAUUGCUUGUAACACUUUUAAAACAAAGUGUUUUGGAUUCUCUUUGUCAAAAGGUGAGGUUCUCAUUUAAUCAGCAGAUUCCAGAGUAAAUGUUAAAGUGCUAUUUUACCACAACUGUUUUCAUUUUUAUUCACUGUUUUCCCAUGCACUGAGGAAAUAAGAGGGCUGGGGAAUUACAAAAAAUAAGAAAACCCGUGUGUCUGGUAAGACCCUCCUUCAGAAAGUGAUUAGGGGCUCCUCUGUCCACCAGUUAAUGUGUGCUAAGUGGUCAAGUGAUUCAUCUUAGCUCAUGUUUGAUUGCCUGUGCUUUCUGCCUGCUUGUGUAUAAACAAAUUAGUAACACCCCUCCUCAAAAAGGAACCAUGAGGUGUGUAGUACUUCUAAGAAAAACACAAAGUCAUUUGUAUCUGAUUUGCCAAACAACCAUUCUAAAAUGAAAAAUGCAUAGGAAAAAACAAAACCAAUCAGUAACAAGGAAAUCUGGCAGUUGAUGGCAGAUGCACAAUGUCUAUCCAUUACCAUUAGAAAGCCCAGAUAAACUAAAGUUCUCCCCUGCCUGCCCAGCCCUGAGGUAUGAAAGCCAGGCAAAAAUUACUUAGGAGGAAAAGUAAACUGAGAGCAAUAAAGGAUAAAAAGCUGAAAUCCGCCAAGGUAUCAAAUUAAGUCAUUGUGUUAAAAACCAAAAGAAAGAAUACUCUUUCAUUGACAAAAGCCUUAUGCCAUGAAAGUUGUACAGAUUCUCUUCCAGCUCAUCUCAGAGCUUGAUUACAUCCUAUGUGCUCCUGGUCCAGCUAUCAGGCAUUUGACGAGGUCAGUGCUGGUUGCUUUUUAAUUGAAGGAAGUUUCCGACUCCUGCAUUUGUGAACAAAGUCACGGCCUGUGGGUAACUGAUGCAGUGGGAAAUUAUGCCUGUAGAUGACCUGAACUGUUCUCAGGGACGAGGAAAAUGUUGUCAUUACUUUGCUGGCUGUACAAACUAUGUGCUCCCUCCCUUUGCUCCUCCCUCCCUCUUUAGUGCCUGCUCCAGAUCAGGCAGCACAGGUAGUGUAGGGUUUCAGAGGCUCUUUGACAUGUCCUGCAGUACUGAACCCUUGUCUCAUGGUCACUAAGAAAAACAUUUAUGUGAAUGCAUGGUAGACAUAGCACAUCUCCGAUAGCAUCAAGGCAAGCAGGGAUUCCCUCAAACUCAAAGAGAACUCUUUCUGCCA